CUGCUAUCCAGAAAGACCGAGGGACUGGGCCCUGUGACGUCUUGGCAACCUGCUUUGAGUAGGUGCCAACUCCCGUUCUGCCAAUGCGUUUGGCUGAAGAAGAUGACAG
rfam:Hymenobacter sp. CCM 8649 NODE_9_length_75038_cov_170.847_ID_17, whole genome shotgun sequence.